GUCCACGCCGUAAACGAUGGGUACUAGGCGUCGGGGGGAGCGACCCUCCCGGUGCCGUCGCUAACGCAGUAAGUACCCCGCCUGGGGAGUACGGCCGCAAGGCUGAAACUCAAAGGAAUUGACGGGGGCCCGCACAAGCGGUGGAGCAUGUGGUUUAAUUCGAAGCAACGCGAAGAACCUUACCUGGGCUUGACAUGCACGGGAAAGCCGUUGGAAACAUCGGCCCCUCUUCGGAGUCCGUGCACAGGUGCUGCAUGGCUGUCGU
rnacentral:rRNA from 1 species